AGGACAGGGAAGGCACAUGUCAGUCUAAAGUAAUAUCAAAGAAAGAGAGAGCAGUGCUGAAGACAUCAUGAGCGUGACUGAGCGUGAGCAUCUGUAAGUUUCCAAUUGCCUGUGGGCUUCAAUGGCCUAACCAACACCACCAGCAACAGCAGCAAAAGCAAUGAGUGAGCCUCAAAAGAUUUCCCCAAUUCAAGCUGAAAAACACUACACCUACUAAAUGGUUUUAACCCUUUUGAAAAAUAGCCUUAGAAACCACCAGUGGUUUCUUAAGAGGCUUCUGUGAAGAUCAGGUGUAUAAAAGGCACGACUCGCCAGCUCCGACACAGCUUCUUGGAAGAAAUGGAGACCACUGGACAAGAGAAGAGUCACAUAACAAUACUAAAACGUGCGGACAGCCCUUUGGCCGGAUGAGGCACCACGAGAUAAGGGCUGUUUGUUCACUGUAUUGUAGCAAACAAAAUGGAAUCCAGUAUAUAACCACAAAGAGUUGAAUAGCAGGAAUAAAAAUGAC
ensembl:antisense